AGCAGCCGCGGUAAUUCCAGCUUCAAUAGCGUAUAUUAAAGUUGUUGCAGUUAAAAAGCUCGUAGUUGAAUUUCGGGAUCAAUAUGUUGGUCGUGCCCUGGUACGUACUGGCGUCAUUGGUUUCUACCUUCUGAAGAACCUCGAUGUCAUUAAUUUGGUGUCUUGGGGAAUCAGGACUGUUACUUUGAAAAAUUAGAGUGUUUAAAGCAAGCUCACGCUUGAAUACAUUAGCAUGGAAUAAUGAAAUAGGACGUUUGAUUCUAUUUUGUUGGUUUCUAGGAUCGACGUAAUGAUUAAUAGGGAUAGUUGGGGCAUUAGUAUUCAAUUGUCAGAGGUGAAAUUCUUGGAUUUA
rnacentral:rRNA from 1 species